CAAGCAAUCCUUCUGCCUCAGCUUCCCGAGUAGCUGGGACUACAGGUGACUUUGAUGGGUGCAUAAGUGACACAAGGCACCAAGGAUUUCUGCAGGUUUCCUGGUAGAAUAAGAUGUGUACUCAAGAUAUUUUACAUGAUGUGCUUUUCAUGUCAAGGCAUCACAGUGAGCCUAUGAAUGGCAGUUAACAAGGUCAGCAGCGGGCCUUGAGGUAAGUGAUGCUGUGGGCCUAAAGCACAGCCCAGCCAUCUGAUCUUCAUAUAUGUAGGUAAGUGAUGAUGGUGUCUCUAACACUUCUUGUUACCAGGAUUUUUUUUUUCCCUUUUAAAAUUGUUUAAAAAUGCUUUUAUAGGCUGUAUAGGAUCCCAUCACAUGGGAGACAGGGAAAAGCUCGCCUGGCCCUCACCAGCACCCUACACACCAUAUCUUUGACCAGCGGCCGAGAGCAGAGCACACUCUCCACGUUCCCCUUGCUGCAACUCCCAGUAUCCUUCUUCCUCAGUCCUCUUCGUUGCCAGGAUUUUGUUGCAGGUGUUCAGGUAAUUGAUAACGUGAUUGUACCACAGUGCAGACCAUCUGACCUUCAAGCUAGGUCAGGAGAUCCUGGUCAGACUAUCGAUGCUAGUUAACGUGGGCCAUUGCUGAUAUUGAGGUAGGUGCUGAGGUGGGCCUAAUCCACAGCACAGACCAUGUAUCCUCAUGCAUAUAGGUAAGUCAUGAUGGUACUACAUUCCUUGUAACCAUAAUUCUUACUAAGUAUUUAUGUUCAGAGUGAUAGAGUCCUUCCCAAUUCUAGAAAACCUAUUUUCACAUUUAUAUUUCAGAAAAAGUUUAUAUUUAACCCUGUGUGUGUGGCAGGAUUGCACAUAUCCAGGUAUUUAUCAUUGGUUUCCCCACCACAGUGCUGCCCGUAGGGUUUUUAUAGGUGCCCAGUCAAGAAAUUAUGGUUUCCUGAUAUCGGUGUUGACCAAGGAACCAGGUAGAGUUGAUGUGUCCCAUUAUAGUGGAAGUGACCAGGCUUAUUUGCAUUUAUCCUGGUAGGAAACUUGUGUCCUUCCUUAAACACAUAUUUUAUAAUUUUUUUUUCAGAAACCUGUGAAGAGAUUAUGGUGAAUCUAACAUAGAUCUUUAAUGAGGGCUGUCAUUGGUGUGCAGGUAAGUUCUGUCAUGGACCUAACCCAAAACACAGGCCUCCUGAUCUUCAGGUAUUUAGGUAAGUGAUGAUGGUGUCCCUAACACCUAUUGUUAGGAUUUCUUUUGUAUUCUGGUAAGGUAUUCUUUUAAGAAAUCAUAGCUUCUUUACCUGUACUGGAAACCUUGAGAUUUCUCUUUUCUUAUUUAGAUGAAAUGUGUAACCCUGAGAAUGUUGUAGGGUUGCACAUAUCCCAGUAAUUAUCAGAUGUUCCCAGCCACAGCCAUCACCAUGGACUCUUUCCAGGUGUCCUGCAAAGAAAUAUCUCCUGACUUUGGCCCUGACCUUGGAGUGCCGCAAGUAUUGAGGUAGUGUAGCUGUGUCCCAUAUUCUUGGAUGUGACCAACUUUAUCCACUGGUUCCUGUUAGAACAUGUUGCUUCUGUUUAUACAUCUAUCACAAUGUUUCUCAGGUUUCUCUGAAGAGUUCAUGAUAAUCUUAACAGUGAUCAUUAUCAGGGGACAUUUCUGGUAUUCAGGUAAGUGAUGUUUUGCAUGUUUACCACAUCACAGACCAUGUGAUCUUCAUGCAUCUGGGUAAGUGAUGUUUGUUUGCCUAAACUGUUUUACCAUUUGAUUUGUUAACAGGUAUUCAGGGAAGAAAUGAUAGAAUCUUUACAAAUUCAAAUAACCAGGAAUUUAUACCUUUUUAUAUUUUAGAGAAAAUUUACCUUUAACCUAGUAGUGUUAAGGAAUUGAUUUUAUUCUGGUUAAUUGUAACUGUUAUAAAACUAACACUCUUGUGGUAAACAUAGGAUUUUUGCAGAUGUCCAGUUAAGAAACGAUGGUCUCUCCUGACAAUAGUGUUGACUUUGAGUUAAUCCAGGUAUCUGUGUAAAGCUGAGGUAUCCCAUAAUAAUGACAGCUUGCAAGGUAUGGGCAGGUGUCCUUGUAGAACAAGUUGUAUACUUAAACACAUCUUUUGCGUGUGGUUUUUUCAGGUUUCUCUAAACAAAAACAGUGUGCUAAAUAAUGGUUGUUAUUGGAACCUUAUCUAGUGACCAGGUAAGUGAUACAUUGGGUCAUACCACUGUGCAGACCCUCUGACCUUCAAUAUCUAGGUAGGUGUACCUAACGCUUGUGUUGCCAUGGUUUUUUGCUGGUAUUUUGUCUUUGCUAUUAUACAGUAUAAUAAAAUGUCACAUUAACUCAUUACAGACAUUCUUAUUUUCAUAUAUAUGUAGGUAACUAAUGAUAUUUUUGAGACUGUUACAUUAACCUUGUUUUUGGCAUAUAUGCAGUUAUGAAAUUAACUUCUUAAUAUACUAAUACUAAUAAUACUAAUAAGCGUGAGAUUUUAUUGUAUUCUUGCUUGGAAAUAAUGUAUAUUUAACUCUUUUAAUUGUAGGGGGAAAUGUAGGUAUCCAGGUAAUUUCUCAUAUUGUUGAUUACCACAAUAUUGACCAUGGGAUUUUUUCAGGUAUCCCUUUAAAGAAGUAAGAGGUCUCUUACAAGGCUUUUUUCUUCAGAGUUCUGUGAGUAUCCAGGUAGUGCUGAUGAGUCCUGAAAUGAUCAAAUGACCAAGGGAGUUUGCAAAUACACAGGUAGAAUGAGAUGUGUACUAAUCACUUGGUACACAAUGUGCUUUUUGGAUUCAUGUCACGACCACAGUGAGCCUCUCUCUGAUUGUUAAUGUGGGACGUUGCUGGUAUGGAGGCAGUGUUGGUGUGGACCUAAACCAUAGCAUAGGUCAUCCGAUCUUCAGAUAUCUAGGUAAGUGAUGAUGCUAUCCCUAACAUUUGCUGUUACCAUGAUUUUUUUUUUUUUGCAGGUAUUCAAGUAAGCAAUGAUUAAAUUACUAAUUGUAGAAACCAUGAGUUUCCACAUUUUAUAUUUCAGGAAAAAUUUGUGCUUAAUCCUCUGAGUAUUGAGGAAUUGUACAUAUCCAGGUAUUUAUCAUUCAGUUCCCUCCAAUAGAACUUAACUACCUGUAGGAUUUUUACUGGUGUCCAGUGAAGAAAUAACAGUUUUCUGACAUCAGUGUUGACCUUGGAUUACUGCAACUGAGAGUUAAUGUCUCCGAUAAUGAUAAAAGUGAUCAAGUUUAAUUGCAGUUAUCCUGGUGGAGAUAGUUGUGUCCUUAAACACAUUUUUAAUAAUGUCUUUCUCAGAUUCCUGUGAAGCGAUCACAAUGAAUCUAACAUUGGUCUUAAAUGGCAGAUACUGCUGAUAUCAAGGCAGUGCUGAUGUGGACCUAAACCAAAGCACAGGUUUUCUAAUCUUCAGAUAUCUAGGUAAGUGAUAAUAUGUACCUUGCACUGGUCAUUAUCAUGAUUUCUUUGCAGGUAUUCAGGUAGGAAAUAAUAGUCCUUACUAAUUCUCAAAACCAUGAGUUUUCCUUUAUUAUAUUUAGAGAAAAUGUUUAGCCCUGUGUUGUGGGAUUGCUCAUACCCAGGUAAUUGUCAGAUGUUUUCAGCCACAUAGUAACCAUGGAAAUUUUGCAGGUGGUUCAUUAAAAAAUAUUAUCUUAUCUAACAAUAGUCUUGAUUUUGGAGGACUGGCUGCAAGUAUUCAUGUAGAAUUGAUGUGUCCCCUAAUGACAGAUGUGAGCAAAAUUAUUUGCAGGUGCCCUGGCAGAACACAUUGUGGUUUUUUUAUAUCUAUAUCAUAAUAUGUUUUUUAGGUUCCUGUCAAGAAAUCCUGAUGAACAGUGGUCAUUAUCAGGGGACAAUUCUGGCAUCCCGGUAAGUGGUGAUGUGCACUUUAACCACAUCACAUAUCCUCUGAUUUUCACGUAUCUAGGUAAGUGAUGUUUCUUUUCCUAAACUCUUUUACCAUGUGACUUUUUAAACAGGUAUUUAGGUGAGUAUUAAUAGUGUUUCCCAAUUCUAGUGAUUAUGUUAUCCUAUUAUUUUCUAUUUUAGAGAAAAUUGAUGCUUUACCUUUUGAUUGUCACAUAAUUUGCAUGUACCCAAGUAACUAACAUGGUGGUAUGCAUCACAGCAGUAACUAUGGCAUUUCUAUAGAUAAGUAAUCAAGGGAAAAUGGUGUGUCCUAUCAUGGUAUAGACCUUGGAAAUACUGCAAAAAUCCAGGUAGAUUUAUGGCUCUUGCAAAUAAGCAAUUUAUAUAUAAGCAAUUUAUAAUAAGCAAGUUAUUUGGAGGGCCUUAUAAAAAAGCUGUGUCCAUAGACACAUGUGUCACUAUGUGUUUUCAGGUUCCUGUCAAAAAAUCAUGCUAAACCUCAUAGUGAUCAAUAAAUGAACUUUACUUGUAUCCAGGUAAGUGAUGAUGUGGGCCUUAAGCACCCUACAGACAAUCUGAUCUUCAGAAGUACAGGUGAGUGUGGAUGGUGUUCCUAACUUCUUUGUUACCAUGGGUAUUUUUUUGCAAGUAUUCAGUCAUCAAAUGAUAAUGUCCCAGCCAAUUCUAGUAAGCAUUAGCCUUUACAAUUUUGGAAAUGGGAUAUAAUGUGUGUUUAACUUCAGUAGCAAGCAAGGGCUAUGCAGGUAUCCAUGUAAGUUAUCCUACUAUUUCACAUCACAGUAUUGACCAUGAGAUUUCUAAGUCAAGUGAUGGUUUCUCUAACAAUGGUGUUGAUCUCAAAGUUCUGCCAAAGUCCAGUUAGUGUUAAUGGUUCCCCUAAUGAUGAAAAUGACCAAGAUAAGUUACAGGUGCCCCCCUCCUAUUUUUUUGCAGGUAAAACAACGUGUAUCAUUAAACACACUUGUUGAAUGUGCAUUUUCAGGUUCCAGCAAUCAUGAGAUCAUAGUGAACCUAACAAUGGUCAUUUAUGGGUCCUUGGUAAUAACCAGGUCAGUGACAAACUGGAUCUUGGCACACUACAGACCAUCUGAUCUUCAGAUUUCUAAGUGAGUAUGGUCUCUCUAACAUGAUGUUACUGUCAAUUUUUUUAUUCAGGUUUCCUGUUGUUUGGUAGUAUACAGGUGUGAGAUGAUGUGAUUCUAACUCGUUAGAGACCUUCUUAUUUCCAGAUAUGUAAGUGAUGAAUGAGGUUUUUAAGAGUGUUAUAUUAACCUUCUUUUGGGCAUGUAUGCAGUUUGAAAAGUAAUUUGUCCCUAAUAAUACUGGCAAGCAUGAGUUUUUAAUAUAUUCUUUUGAGAAAAUGUUUAUUUAACACUUGUACUGAUAGAUAUGCAUAUAUCUUGAUAUUUUAUCAUAUUGUCCAACACCAUGUAAUUGACCAUGAGAUUUUUGCAGGUAUCCAUUAAAGACUGGAUGGUGCCUCUUCCUACAGUUUUACCUCAUUCUGCAAUUAUCUACGUAAAUUUGGUGAGCCACCAAAUAGACAAGAGACCAAGGGAAUGUGUAGUUUUACGGGUAGAAUAAGACCAGUACCAAACCCAUUUCCAACAAUGUGUUUUUCAGGGCAUGUCAGGAGAUCAUAGUGAGCCUAUCUAUGGUAAUUAUCAUGAGGUAUUACUGGUUUUGAGGUAAGCAAGGAUGGGGACCUAAACCACAGCACAUACUGUCUGAUCUUCAUAUAUACAUAUGGAAGUGAUGAUUGUAUCCCUGACACUUGUCGUUACUAUAAUUUCUUUGUAGGUAUUCAGGCAGGAAAUAAAAGAAUAGUUACCAAUUUUCAAAACUAUGAAUUUUCACUUUUGAUAUUUAGGGAAAAUGUUUGUUUAACCCUUGAGUGUUGAGAAAUUGCACAUAUCAAGUAAUUAUCAUGAUGUUCGUAGCCACAGUAGUAACCAUGGGAUUAUUGCAGGUGUCCUCAAAACAAAUGUUGUCUUAUCCAAUAGUGGUCUUUACUUUGUAUUACUGCAAGUAGACAGGUAGAGUUGAUGUGUUCAUAAUGAUGGAAGUGACCAAGGUUAUUUGCAGAUGUCCUGGUAGAGCACCAUUGUAUUUUUUACACCUAUAUCAUAAUGUUUUUCAGGUUCCUGUUGAGAGAUCAUGAUAAACCUAACAAUGGUCAUUAUCAGGGGACAUUUCUGGUGUCCAGGUAAGUGAUAAUAUACACUUUAACCACAUCAAAGACCAUCUGAUCUUCACAUAACAGGGUAAGUGAUGUUUGUUUGCCUAAACUUGUUUUACAAUGUGUGUUUUUUUUUAUAAGUAUUCAGGUAAGUAGUGAUAGUGUUUUCCCAAGUUAUCCUACCGUUUUAUAUCCUAGAGAAAAAUUAUUUUUUUACCCUAUACGUGUCUUAUGAUUUUCAAGAAUCCAGGUAAUUUUUAUGUGUUCUGCAUCACAAUAUUAUCCAUGGUAUUUUUGCAUGUGUGCAGUCAGAAAACAAUGGUGACAUUAACCAUGGUAUAGACCUUGGAUUACUGUAAGUAUCCAGGUAGAGUUAUAUGUCCUGCAAUGAAGGAAGCAAACAAGAUUAUUUGCAGCUGUAGAAGUUGAAAAUGUGUGUUCAUAAACACAUUUGUCAUGUGUUUUUCAGAUUCCAGUCAAGAGAUCACAUUGAACUUCAUAAUGACUGGUAAUAGAGACUUUGCUUAUACCCAGGUAAGUGAUGAUGUGAGCCUUAAGCACACUAUAAAUCAUGUGAUCUUCAGUUAUCUAGGUAAGUAAAAUUGGUCUUCCUAACAUUUGUGUUAUCAGGGUUUUUUUUUGGUUUUUUUUUUUUGCAGAAAUUCACGUAAGAAAUGAUAGUGUCCCAACAGGUACUAGUAAGCAAUAGCCCUUUCUAUUUUAGAAUUUAAAUAUAUGUGUUUAACCUUAAUAGUAACUAAGGGAUAUGCAGGUAUCCAAGUAAGUUAUCCUUUUGUCCAUCACCUCUUUAUUGACUAUGACUUUUUUUUUUUUUUGGCAGUUAUCUCAUCAAGCAAGAAUGUGCCUCUAACUAGGUUAUUGACUUUGAACUUCUGAAUAUUUCCAAGUAGUUUUGAUAGGCUCCCUAAUAAUCAAGUGACCAUGGAAUUUUGCAGGUGUUGAUGUGGUACAUGUAUUCCUAACACAGUUUUUACCAUGAUUUUUUUGAAGGAUCUAAUAAAGAGAUGAUAGUGCCUUUGCUGGUAUCCAGGUAAGAUCUAUUAUCCAAAUUAAAUAGUAUUAUUAGUUGAACCAUCAUCUCUUGAUUGCUGUUUUUGGAGAUGUCCACUCAAGAGUUAAUAUUAUCUCUAACUAGUAUUGAUCUUGGAUUUUGCUAGUAUCUAGGAAGAUUUUAUGUUUCCCUUUAAGUUCAUAGUAUCCAUAGAAUUUUCUGGUAUCCAAGUUGUAGCUUUGUCUGUAAAUGCUGUUGUCUCUGGGUUUUUGUAGAUUCCAAUUAAGAGAUUAUUGCAAAUCUUCCUACGGUAUUGAAGGCAAGAUUUUGUUUGCAUCCAGCUACAAGAUGAUGAUUGUCCAAAGUUGGAGUUCAUGAGAUUUUGCAGAUAUUUAGGUAAGCUGUACUGGUGUUCUUAAGCCAACAUAGUGGCCAUGUUUAUUUGGAAGUGUCCUUGUAAAUUAUGUUGACUAACCAUUAUGAUGAGCAGGGGAAUUUUGCAGGCAUCACACUAUGAAGGUGUCACUCACUAAGGUGUUAUCCUUGGAAAUGUGCAGGUAUCCAGGUAAGAGUUGAUGGUGUCCCUAAUCAAGAUUGUGACCACGGGAUUUUGCAGUUAGGCAAGGGGUAAUGUUCCCCUACUGUGAUAUUUUUUCCUGGCCUUUCUAGAGAUCCAGAUAAGAGAUGAUAUUUGUCUAAUACAUUGAUGCAGGUGAUCGUUGCAAGUAUAUUGGCAGAAGAUGAUGGUGUCUGUAUAUGUAGCACGGACCUUUGAAUUUUGCAUGCAUCCAGGAAUUCUGGAAAGAGAUGAUGGUGUUCCUAACAUUACUGACCACAGGAUUUUGCAGAUAUUCAGCCAACAGAUGAUGGCAUCUCUAUCAAUGAUGAUGUCCAUCAGAAUGAAAGAAAAAUGGUAUACUUUUAUGUUAACUAUAUAUUUUAUUAAAUGAAUUUUAACAGA